UAGGGAAUCUUCCACAAUGGACGAAAGUCUGAUGGAGCAACGCCGCGUGAGUGAAGAAGGGUUUCGGCUCGUAAAACUCUGUUGUUAAAGAAGAACAUAUCUGAGAGUAACUGUUCAGGUAUUUGACGGUAUUUAACCAGAAAGCCACGGCUAACUACGUGCCG
rnacentral:rRNA from 1 species